GUGAAAAAGAAGAAGCACCCGCUUCUCACCUGAUUGACGCUGUUGGCAGUUGACAGGUUUACGUAAAACUUUAAGGCUAGCUGUGUCUAUUAGUGCGGGUGUUUUCAUCCGCACUUUUUUAUUUUU
rfam:Bacillus methanolicus MGA3, complete genome.